GGCCGGUCCCGGGCAGGCUCGGGGCGGCCGCGGGGAUGCGGCGCUGAGCGCUCCGGUGUCCGUCGGUCUGUCCCUCCGCCCGUCACUCAGUCACUCACUCGCCCCGCGCGCCGAGAUCCCCCUCCCGCAGCCCAUGAUGUGCCUGGAAAGCGACGGCUCCUCCGGCAGCAGCCCGGGCUGCGGCGGGCGGCUGCGAGCCGGCGACGAGGAGGAGGAGGAGGACGGCGAGCGGGGCUGCUGCGGCCGGGGCGCCGAGGGCGAGGUGCAGACCCUGUCGGGCAGGAUGAACCCGCCGGCGGGCGGCAAGCACCCCGACCGCCCCGCCGCCCUCCGCAAGGCGCCGAGCCUCGGCCGGGCCCGGGUGGCGGCCGCCGGCAUCCUCAGCGUGGGCAACGUGCUCAACUACCUGGACCGGUACACGGUGGCAGGUGUGUUACUGGACAUCCAGCAGCACUUUGGAGUCAAGGACAGCGGGGCUGGUUUGUUACAGACAGUUUUCAUCUGCAGUUUCAUGGUGGCGGCGCCGAUCUUUGGUUACCUUGGUGACCGCUUCAACAGGAAGAUCAUCCUCAGCUGUGGGAUCUUCUUUUGGUCAGCUGUCACUUUCUCCAGCUCCUUCAUCACCGAACAGUAUUUCUGGCUGCUGGUGCUCUCCCGGGGUUUGGUUGGCAUCGGAGAGGCGAGUUACUCCACUAUUGCCCCAACCAUCAUCGGAGACCUGUUCACCAAAAACACGAGGACCCUCAUGCUCUCUGUCUUCUACUUUGCAAUUCCCCUGGGCAGUGGCUUGGGAUACAUCACUGGGUCCAGUGUGAAGCAGGUUGCUGGAGACUGGCACUGGGCCUUGAGGGUAUCUCCACUCCUGGGAAUGAUAACAGGGACACUCAUCUUGAUAUUUGUUCCUGCUGCUAAAAGAGGAAAUGCUGAACAACUUGGGGGGCAGCUGAAGGCUCGGACCUCGUGGCUGAGAGACAUGAAAGCACUGAUUAGAAACCGCAGCUACGUCUUCUCAUCCCUGGCCACCUCAGCCGUGUCCUUUGCCACGGGGGCACUCGGCAUGUGGAUCCCUCUGUACCUGCACAGGGCACAGGUGGUGCAGAAGACAGCAGAGACCUGCAGCUCCCAGCCCUGCGGCACCAAAGACAGCUUGAUCUUCGGGGCCAUCACAUGCUUCACUGGCUUCCUGGGUGUCAUCACAGGGGCAGGGGCCACCAAGUGGUGCCGGCUGAAGACGCAGCGGGCGGAUCCCCUGGUGUGUGCCGUGGGCAUGCUGGGCUCUGCCAUCUUCAUCUGCCUCAUCUUCGUGGCUGCCAAGAGCAGCAUCGUGGGAGCCUAUAUUUGCAUUUUUAUCGGAGAAACUCUUCUGUUUUCAAACUGGGCUAUCACAGCAGACAUUCUAAUGUACGUGGUGAUCCCAACCCGCCGGGCAACCGCAGUGGCCUUGCAGAGUUUCACUUCACACCUCCUGGGAGAUGCUGGCAGCCCUUAUCUCAUUGGAUUUAUCUCAGACCUGAUUCGACAAAGCACAAAGGAGUCCCCGGUGUGGGAGUUCCUCAGCCUGGGUUACGCCCUCAUGCUCUGCCCCUUCGUCGUCGUCCUGGGAGGGAUGUUCUUCCUGGCCACGGCCCUGUUCUUCCUCAGUGACCGAGCCAAAGCUGAACAACAUAAAGAAACCGAUUCGGAUCAACUCACGGUUGGCAACUACAGUAAUUCGGAAGACGCUUCCACAUGACAUACAAACUCCUGGGGGUGAACCAGCUCGUGAUGCCACCAGCCUCUGUCAAAGUCUGAGACGGUGCUGCUGAAGGAAAGGACUCGUGGACUCUGCUCCCACCACACCAACCUCAAGCUCGAAGCCCUUCCAUGCUGGAUCCCAGAGGAUCCUCCAGC